rnacentral:rRNA from 1 species
AUUGAACGCUGGCGGCAGGCCUAACACAUGCAAGUCGAGCGAGCGGCGGACGGGUGAGUAAUGUCUGGGCAACUGCCUGAUGGAGGGGGAUAACUACUGGAAACGGUAGCUCAUACCGCAUACCAUCAGAUGUGCCAAGAUGGGAGUAGCUAGGAGGUGGGGUAACGGCUCACCUAGGCGACGAUCCCUAGCUGGUCUUAGAGGAUGAACAGCCAAUCUGGGACUGAGACACGGCCCAGACUCCUACGGGAGGCAGCAGUGGGGAAGUUGGGACAAUGGGGAAAACCAGGAUCCAGCCAUCCAGCGGGUGCGAUGAAGGCCUUCGGAUUGUAAAGCACUUUUGGCAGGGAAGCGUUACAUGCAGAAGAAGCACCGGCUAACUACGUGCCAGCCGCCGCGGUAAUAC